rnacentral:rRNA from 1 species
CCUACGGGUGGCAGCAGUGAGGAAUAUUGGUCAAUGGACGAGAGUCUGAACCAGCCAAGUAGCGUGAAGGAUGACUGCCCUAUGGGUUGUAAACUUCUUUUAUAAAGGAAUAAAACGAGGCACGUGUGCCGUUUUGCAUGUACUUUAUGAAUAAGGAUCGGCUAACUCCGUGCCAGCAGCCGCGGUAAUACGGAGGAUCCGAGCGUUAUCCGGAUUGAUUGGGUUUAAAGGGAGCGUAGAUGGGUUGUUAAGUCAGUUGUGAAAGUUUGGGGCUCAACCGUAGAAUUGCAAUUGAUACUGGCAGUCUUGAGUACAGUAGAGGUAGGCGGAAUUCGUGGUGUAGCGGUGAAAUGCUUAGAUAUCACGAAGAACCCCGAUUGCGAAGGCAGUUUACUAAACUGUGACUGACAUUGAGGCUCGAAAGUGUGGGUAUCAAACAGGAUUAGAUACCCGGGUAGUC